AUGAUUAUAUCAAUUUAUAUCAAUUUGUCUCGAAAAAUAGACACAAAUGAAUUUUAAAUCGAACAUCGCCCUAACAGGUAACAUAAACUUGAAAAAGAAAAAAUCACUUCAACAAUACAAAUCAAGUUAUGAAGAAAAAUCAACCUCAAGAAUGAAAAAAUUAUUUCAUGAAAAAUUCUUCCUCCUCAAAAGCAAUGAAGAAUGUCCUAUUAAGUAAAACUUGCAAGUUCCUCUUGUCAUAGCAUCCAUCAUUCAAAAAGGUAACCAUAAAAUAAUCCUUCCCAAAAACAAACGUAGUACCAUCCUUAACAUGUAAAAAAACAUAUAUAUGAUGUAUCAUGUAAAUAUAAAAAAAUAAGAUGUACCAUGUAAACAUAAAAUAUGUCCAUACAAUACAAUGAGAUCGUCACUCAAAAACAAAGUAAACAAAAGCACUCUGUCUAUCUUCCUCUCACUAAUGUCCCAUAUCAUUUGCAACAAAACCAUCAGAGACCCAAGACAAACCACCAUGAAAAAAAUACAAUCCACUAGCCAAAACAACUUCACAGAGGAAAGUCAUACCCAACGUUCGUACAAAAAAUCCCAUGUAUAUGGAAAUGAAUGGGAAGGGUCAAAUCAAAUGGCAAACGUUACCGUCUGCAAAAAUCACAUUAUAAACUAAAGAAUAGAAAAACAUACCAUCAUGCAUGCCAAUAAAGAAACCAAAAAUGAACAACAAACGGGGGACAUACAAAGCAAAAAAGGGGGGUUGUCAAAUAUCAUCAAUUAUCAAUAAUCACAAAAACAACAGCGAUUCCACACAGGAAAAAUUAAACGCAAAACUCCACACACAUGACCAAAACGAAUCAUUCAUCAAUGGCAAAGAUCAUAUAUGAUAGAAAUCAGCUAAUCAAACGGACGAAGACAACAAAUCAAACAGAUAAAACAAAUAAAAACCAAAACAAAUCAGAAAUGAAAUAAAACAAAAAUAUAUAAGGACAAAAAAACUUUUUCACCUCUUUUUACAAAUAAAAUUGAAAAAUAAAAAACAAUAUAUCUCUCAUAUACAUAUUCCACAAUA